AUUGAACGCUUGCUGCAGGCCUAACACAUGCAAGUCGAACGAGUGGCGGACGGGUGAGUAAUGUCUGGGAAACUGCCUGAUGGAGGGGGCUAACUACUGGACACGGUAGCUAAUACCUCAUCCCAUCGGAUGUGCCCAGAUGGGAUUAGCUAGUAGGUGGGGUAACGGCUCCCCUAGGCGACGAUCCCUCGCUGGUCUGAGAGGAUGAACAGCCACACUGGAACGGAGAAACGGUCCAGAAUCCUACGGGAGGCAGCAGUGGGGAAUAUUGCACAAUGGGCGCAAGCCUGAUGCAGCAAUGCGGCGUGUAUGAAGAAGGCCUUCGGGUUGGAAAGUACUUUCAGCGGGGAGGCGUUACCCGCAGAAGAAGCACCGGCUAACUCCGUGCCAGCAGCCGCGGUAAUAC
rnacentral:rRNA from 1 species